GAUGAACGCUGGCGGCGUGCCUAAUACAUGCAAGUCGAGCGAACGGACGAGAAGCUUGCUUCUCUGAUGUUAGCGGCGGACGGGUGAGUAACACGUGGAUAACCUACCUAUAAGACUGGGAUAACUUCGGGAAACCGGAGCUAAUACCGGAUAAUAUUUUGAACCGCAUGGUUCAAAAGUGAAAGACGGUCUUGCUGUCACUUAUAGAUGGAUCCGCGCUGCAUUAGCUAGUUGGUAAGGUGACGGCUUACCAAGGCAACGAUGCAUAGCCGACCUGAGAGGGGGAUCGGCCACACUGGAACUGAGACACGGUCCAGACUCCUACGGGAGGCAGCAGUAGGGAAUCUUCCGCAAUGGGCGAAAGCCUGACGGAGCAACGCCGCGUGAGUGAUGAAGGUCUUCGGAUCGUAAAACUCUGUUAUUAGGGAAGAACAUAUGUGUAAGUAACUGUGCACAUCUUGACGGUACCUAAUCAGAAAGCCACGGCUAACUACGUG
rnacentral:rRNA from 1 species